UACGGGGGGGCAAGCGUUGUUCGGAAUUACUGGGCGUAAAGGGCUCGUAGGUGGCCAACUAAGUCAGACGUGAAAUCCCUCAGCUUAACUGGGGAACUGCGUCUGAUACUGGAUGGCUUGAGAUUGGGAGAGGGAUGCGGAAUUCCAGGUGUAGCGGUGAAAUGCGUAGAUAUCUGGAGGAACACCGGUGGCGAAGGCGGCGUUCUGGACUGCAACUGACACUGAGGAACGAAAGCCAGGGGAGCAAACGGG
rnacentral:rRNA from 1 species